rnacentral:misc_RNA from 1 species
CAGCCGCGGAAUUCCAGCUCCAAUAGCGUAUAUUAAAGUUGUUGCAGUUAAAAAGCUCGUAGUUGAAUUUCGGGAUCAAUUAAUUGGUCGUGCCUCUGGUACGUACUGAUUUUAUUGGUUUCUCCCUUCUGACGAACCAUGAUGUCAUUAAUUUGAUGUCGUGGAGAAUCAGGACUGUUACUUUGAAAAAAUUAGAGUGUUUAAAGCAAGCUAACGCUUGAAUACAUUAGCAUGGAAUAAUGAAAUAGGACGUUUGAUCCUAUUUUGUUGGUUUCUAGGAUCGACGUAAUGAUUAAUAGGGAUAGUUGGGGGCAUUAGUAUUCAAUUGUCAGAGGUGAAAUUCUUGGAUUUAUUGAAGACUAACUACUGCGAAAGCAUUUGCCAAGGAUGUUUUCAUUAAUCAAGAACGAAAGUUAGGGGAUCGAAGACGAUCAGAUACCGUCGUAGUCUUAACCAUAAACUAUGCCGACUAGGGAUCGGAUGAUGUUAAUUUUUUAAUGACUCAUUCGGCGCCUUACG